ensembl:lncRNA
GACUUCGUCAAGAUUGUAAAUUUGUUUCAGGAGGCACUGGCACCUGUGGAGCCCAGUACUAAGGUGCCACUCACAGCAGCUGCUUUUAAUGUAGCAGCGAUCUCGAUGGCAUCAACCUCUGCCUUAUCUCAGCAUUCAAGCAGAAAAUCAAGCCCCUUGGAAAGUGAAGAAAGAAAAUGGAUGAUGCACUAUGAUGCCCCAAGUGAUGAUGCUAAGGUAUUGAGUUUCCUGGGUAGCUUUUGGAAGAAAUGACACCUUAUUCCUUGCUUACUGUAAGAAUCAUAAAGUUGACAAAUGCUCAUCAGGCAGAUUUUUGUAAGUAUCAGAUUGUUUUAUUGAUGUUACAUCAUUCUCAAAUUACUGUAUCAGCCCCUGCGUCUGCUAGAUAUUGCACAAAUGCAAAACACUAAAGUCAUACUAGCUAAGAAAUCACAGUUGAAGGCAAUUUAUGCCACGGAAUGUCUAUUUGCAAUCUCAGAGGUUUAUUUGGGCUUUUUACCAUACUAUUUAUCUGACAAGUUGUCUGUUUCAGGGGCUUGAAAAUACCUUAACACCGGUUUUAACACAGAGAUGUUUAUAUAACAUGUUCAUGACAAAUGCAUAGAAUAUAGAGCUGAAAUACUUACACACCAGUCUCUCUUAAGUCUUGGGUUAUCCUGAGCAUCAUGACAUCAGCUGGCUCUUGCCCCCCAGUGAAAGAUGUUGGACAGAAAUCUUUUGGGGACUGUGGUACAUGGUACAUUUCAGCUGUCAUGCAAAGUGUUCUGAAAAUUUGUGAUAUUUGGACAGUCUUUGCCUGUGGUUCACAUUCCCAGAGAUUUUUCUCUGAGAGUUUUGUCCUGCAUGUGGCGCACCACUAAUAUCACAGUUUUACAUAUCCCUUUACCAUACUGUUCUUCCUUCUCUUGUUUUGCAUUUUCUUUUCUUUUUUGGGAGAUUAUGAUGAAGGUUGCUGAAGCCAUAAAAUCCUACAGAUAAAAUUUCUCAGCAUCUCUUUGUAUUUCACUCACUUCAGUGUUUCAAGAGCAUGGAUGUCACCCUUGUCAAUUUUCCAAUCAAGUGGAGAGAAGUGUCCUGUUCACAUUGUCUGUAAUGUCAGGCUUCAGAAAAUAGAAGAAAUAUAUGGUACAGAAGAAAAGGUCAAAUUAGUUUUUAUUCCUUUUGAGAGCUACGAAAUACUGCAUGUAUGUGUAAGACUUCACCUUCAUUCCUUUGAACUGUUGAUUUAAUUUCUCUUAAUAUCACCAUUGACCUAGAAUGAAAAUUGAACCAGAUAAGAAGCAUUAUUCAGCUGCUUAUACAAAGGAAUUGCACAAAAUAAAAUGAUGCUGCAUUCUCAGAAAACAGUGUUCCAAUUGUGACCUUUUCCUCCAUUCUGAGGACAGGGAGAUUUCUGAGAGGUGUCACUUAGUGUGUUGUAGACAUUUUGAAAAUUUCUAUUAUCACCAAAAUGUACACUGCUGGAGUAGAGCUCAAGACGUGUGGGCUCGGGGUCUGUUCACGGACUUGUUGAAUAAGAAGUUUAGGUAAAUUUAUACAUCAAAAUAUUCUGUGACUCUGAUGCCCUGUCGACAAAAUAUCUUCUCCAACACAUUUUGUUUCUCUCUUAUCUAUUUAGGCGGCGUGCUCAUUUUGAAUCUCCUGGUAUUGUAGAGAGAUUUUAAUUUAAGAUGUUAGGUAACUAGAGACAGUGGGAAAUAUUUUCAGAUUCUUUUGUUAAUUGCCAGUAAAUUAGGCUUGGGUACCAGUUGGUGAAGAAAAUUGUCUUUUCUUUCUGUCAGUAAUUCCCCAGCUACUCUGUGAACCUGUUUGAGCCUGUUUCUUAAGCGCGUCGUAAAUGAAGCACUGUAGGCCAGGAUGCUGUUGAACAAGGAAGAUAAACAAACAUCAGAUAGCUCUUUGUUGACUAAGUAACAACCUAUCUCUGCUUUCAAAGAAAUUGAAAUCUCACAGGAAAAAUAAUGUGAUAUUCUGGAAUUUAAAAACUUAAGUACAAUUCAAAAAAGAGAUAUUGUAGCUUUCAAGUGCUUGAUUUUGCACUGCUAUUGAUGUUCUUUUAGCUUAGGGUUUUUAUUUUAACAUUUGAAUGUGUGUGACGUAUGAGAAAACUAAAAUAACUAGACAUGCUAUUGUGUGUGAAUAAUAAAAUUAUAUUUACCUAGCCUUUUCUCAGCAAUAUGAUCUUUCCCCUGGAAAACUCAUCAGAAGCAUCUGAUACAGAUGCUAUCUGACUGUGAGAUAUCUGUAGAAGACUGACAAUUUUUGCAAUAACAUUUUUCAAAUUUCCCUAGAUUUUCAGUUUCCCUG